UACGUAGGGUGCGAGCGUUAAUCGGAAUUACUGGGCGUAAAGCGUGCGCAGGCGGUGCGCCAAGCUCGAUGUGAAAGCCCCGGGCUUAACCUGGGAAUUGCAUUGAGGACUGGCGUGCUCGAGUGCGGCAGAGGGGGGUGGAAUUCCACGUGUAGCAGUGAAAUGCGUAGAGAUGUGGAGGAACACCGAUGGCGAAGGCAGCCCCCUGGGCCGACACUGACGCUCAUGCACGAAAGCGUAGGGAGCAAACAGG
rnacentral:rRNA from 1 species